rnacentral:rRNA from 1 species
AGGGUUUGAUUAUGGCUCAGGACGAACGCUGGCGGCAUGCCUAACACAUGCAAGUCGAACGAGAAAGUCACUUCGGUGGUGAUUAAAGUGGCGCACGGGUGAGUAACGCGUAGACAAUCUGCCCCUCAGUCUGGGACAACUUUUCGAAAGGAGAGCUAAUACCGGAUAACAAUAUUUGACAUAAGUUAAAUAUUUGAAAGCUUUAUGUGCUGAAGGAGGGGUCUGCGUCCCAUUAGCUAGUUGGUGAGGUAAAGGCUUACCAAGGCAACGAUGGGUAGCGGGUUUGAGAGGACAAUCCGUCACACUGGAACUGAGACACGGUCCAGACUCCUACGGGAGGCAGCAGUGGGGAAUAUUGCACAAUGGAGGAAACUCUGAUGCAGCAAUGUCGCGUGAGUGAAGAAGGCCCUUGGGUCGUAAAGCUCUUUUAUGGGGGAAGAUGAUGACGGUACCCCAGGAAUAAGCACCGGCUAACUACGUGCCAGCAGCCGCGGUAAUUC